rnacentral:lncRNA from 1 species
AUCAACAAAGAUUUCAAGCAGAAGAGUUUACCAAGAGUUAAGUGUUAAAGAUAAGCAAUUUUUUAGUUUAUCCUUUUUAAAUAUGCCCAUCCAGCCCAAUUACAAUUGAGGAGAUGACAAAUGGGCAUACUCAUAGCCAUUCGUAUAUGUCAACAAAGUUUUCUGUAAAACUUUUUCAGGAAUUACUUGAACGACAUCUUAAGAGUUAAUACAGUAUCCUUUUUGUAUCCGCUGCAAUAUUUCGUUCACCUAUAGUACAGUAAAUAUCUAAAAUUGCCAAGUGCGUGUCCUCAUGCUGAAGUUUCAACUGAGUUUCUGUAUUGACAUAAUGAUCGCAAGAAGUCGAUCUACCAUGAAGUUGAGAAACUUUCAAGGAGUAAGCUAAAUAUUCCCGAAGAAGUAUAAAUGUACUUUCAGCAUUGCUUUGAGCAUCCUAGAAGGUUAUUUAAGAAGGAUACCUAGAAUCAUUAACUAAAAACUGCAUUUCAGGUGAUAAAUAAAGCUGGCAAAUUUUAGAUGUGCUAGCUGUUAGUUAUAACAUAAUAUGUAUUUUACUCUUGAUGCAAUUUUAGAACUUGAUCGAUGAUGCCAAAGCCCCAUCUCCUGGGUCCUUUGGACAUGGAAUCUUGGCCUUGGUCAAGGUCAAAUUUGUGGCUUAGUUUGAAAAGACCUAACUGGGUCUGCGUACAUAUUACCCUCCCCAGACCCCACUUGUGGGAUUAUACUGGGUCGUUGUUGUUGUUGUUUGAAAAGACUUAACAUUGAGACAAGGCACAAUUUCAGACUUUUGCUUUUCUUUGUUUUUGUUAUGUAGGGUCUGCAUUAAAUACACACUGUGAGGGCAACAUGUGUGACAAAAUUACUUGGCCUCAUUGUGCCUGUUUAAUUUGGCAUCUGUCCAUUAUAUUGUUAGAUGUGUAUUUUAGUCAUUAUUGAAAUAGAGAAAAAGGAGGAUAGUACAUCUGUACAUGCCCUAGAAAGCAAAAGGGAACUGCACUAAUAUUUGGCCAUAGGUUGAAAUAGAUAUAGCUGUCUCUCUGUGAAUCUUAUGAAUGAUAUUCUGGCAAUGUUUACAAUGGUGGUAAUAUAUUGAAUAGGCAAUAGAUAUGAUGAAAGCAGGGGGGAUUUUAGUGCAGCAAUAGUGUGCAGAAGGUAGACUGACAUGGAUGAGAAGGAUGUGUCUGCAGUUAGAAGGGAAAAAAAAAACAGAUCCACCACUAGAACCUUUGUCACACUUUUUAAAGUUUUACCCCACAAAGCUAAUGACGCACGUUUGGUUUCUCUCUUCUUUUCUUUGUUGUGCGAAUCUACUUUUGGUUCCUGUUUUCUUUCUAAUGUGAGUCUACUUUUGUUUCCCAUUGCUUCCCCAUCUCCCUUUUCAGCUCAAGGAAAUGGUGAAAAGAUGGUUGUGGUAGAACUCACAUUUGAUGUAGAAGUCCAAAAAACAACUCACAUUUGAUGUAGAAGUCCAAAAAACAACUCACAUUUGAUGAAAAAUCUGCAGCAGUUGUUCUAUUCUGACCAUGACACACUACCAUCCAGGAUAGUUAUAGUUGAAUUACUGAAAAUUAUCGGCAAGAAAAACCUGAACCAAAAGUUUGUGCAGAUAGAGAGAAACCUGGACCAAAUGAUUCUGCCAAUAG